rnacentral:rRNA from 1 species
GGCGGUCGGCUUCGUAGGUGACCUGCGGAGGAUCAUUACCGAGUUCAUGCCCUUACGGGUAGAUCUCCCACCCUUUGUAUACCAUACCUUUGUUGCUUUGGCGGGCCGCCUAGCUACUGGCUUCGGCUGGUAUGUGCCCGCCGGAGGACCCAAAACCCUGAAUUAUUAGUGUCGUCUGAGUACAAUAUUUAAUAUUUAAAACUUUCAACAACGGAUCUCUUGGCUCUGGCAUCGAUGAAGAACGCAGCGAAAUGCGAUAAGUAAUGUGAAUUGCAGAAUUCAGUGAAUCAUCGAAUCUUUGAACGCACAUUGCGCCCCUUGGUAUUCCGAGGGGCAUGCCUAUUCGAGCGUCAUUAUCACCCCUCAAGCCUAGCUUGGUGUUGAGGCCUGCUGUCAAGGCAGCCUCUAAAAUCAGUGGCAGUGCUGUCAGGCUCUAAGCGUAGUAAAUCUAAUCGCUAUAGACACCUGGUGGACACUCGCCAGAACCCCCCCAUUUUUUAAUGAUUGACCUCGGAUUAGGUAGGGAUACCCGCUGAACUUAAGCAUAUCAGGGAAAACGACUCUGUCCUUCUGCGGGGGGAGUGAAGAAUUGUUUUACCGGGUGACGGUUUAGC